rnacentral:ncRNA from 1 species
GCGGAGAUAAAAACACGACCCCGUUGGGUAGUCGGGGUGCGCUGGCGGUUCGCCCGCGGCGUCAGUAACCUGCCUCCUUGGUUGUCCCUUCUCUGC